AAUGCAAAUAGAUCAAGGUCUCAAAUUUGAUUCCCUUCCCUUGUAAAAUAGCUUUAUUUUCUCUUUCUCCCUAUUUUUGUGCCAGCCAUGCUGCUUAACCUAGGAAUAAAUAUCACUUUUUCAUUUAUUUUUCAGCCUUUAGUCAUUCUUUUACAACCCUAGCCGCCCUUCCCCUUCAUCUCUUCUCUCCCUUUUUAUUUUUCCCCUUUCUCCCUCAUUGUGCUACUGCCUAAAGUUCCCUCUCUUCUGCCCAUAUUUCCUUUGUUGAUAGAGGAUUUUUACAAAAUUUUCCUUAUCACCUUUGCUACUUUUUCCAUUAAAAUUUCCAUCCUCAAAUCUACCAUUUUUAUCAUUUAAAAGUAAGCCUCCAAAGGCUCCACAAAGAUUACCAUUACCGCUCUUUUGCUAUCCUUCGAGUCGCAUGUGCAUGGGGUGGGUUAUUGUGGAUGACAGACGAGUUUCGUGGAGUAAUUGCAGCAUAUUAAGUUUGCAUUUAUGUUAUCAAUGCACUGCACCAGGAUUAAUGAGGAGAAUGACGAUUAUAUUGUGUUUUAAAUGGUAGUAUAACUGCAUUACGUAUAAUGGUUGUUUAACCACAUUGAGCCCAGCUCGUAAUGUUUGGAGUUUGGCAAACGGGUUCUGGGGAACUCGUCGUGUGUAGAGGAUGGUUGGGUAGGAUUCUUUAUGCAUUGCAUUAUGUCCAUGGCACUCAAAAGAUAAUGUUUUAUGCUAUGUGAUAUGUUGUAUUAAAUUAUUGAUUGGUGAUUGUACGGAUAACUGAAUGUUCUUACCAUUUAGACUCAUAAUAAGCUAGUUAGCUUACACCAUAGUUUCAAACAUCUUAGGUAAUGCUUAAGAGUAGGAUCAGAUACGACACAUGGGCAUACGACGAACUUCGAACUAAUUAUUAUUUAUUUCAUUUAAGUUUUAUUUAAAAUUUAAUUUGUUUUGGGACUUUAAAGUUAUUUGGAUCGUGGUUUGGAUUUUACUUUGUUUUGUGAUUUUCAUGUAUUCAUAUUCGACACAUUAAUUUGGUUUUAAAGUACAUUUUGAUAUUGGACAAUGCUGGCUUAAUGUUAAAAGGGGUAAAAAUUAAGUUUUCCACUGUAAUAAAAGAUAAUGAGGUUUUAUUGAGUGAAGCAACGGGCAAUGUGUUUUCUAAACCACGCAAAUGCUAAUAACACGACAUAAGGAUGUCUGAUUUAAUUAAUGAAAUGUCUUCUACAAUAACAAAGAUACACCGCUAUUUUUUUUAAAAGAGCGAGUAACUAAGGUUUUCAAAGAAUGAUAGGGUAGUUUAGCUACACAGGUGGCUAAUGUGAUCUUCACAAUUCGGCCAUAACGUUUAGGUCGGAUUGGGGAGAUUACAAAUUGAGCAUGCAAGACACCUAUUUUUUGGCCCAAAAGCAUCAAGAAUGACAACUAGGUCACAACAUAGCCGAACAAGGUUUAAAUUUAGUACUCGAAGUUUUUGUCAUGAUACACAUAAGCCUAUUUCACGAAACAGGUCUGAUGGAGGUGUCAUUGUCUGCACAAUACAUAUUUAGCCUAAUUAAAGCUUGUAAUUGACCUAAGUGAGCAACUAACUUUAUCUAUAAAUAGUUAAGUUGAUGCUAAGCUAAGAGACAAGUUGUUAUGUUAGAAUCUAGGUUUUAGUUUUAGACUUAGUUUUUAAUUUAUUUUUUGAAACAAUUUUUUAUUUCUUGUUCGAACUUGGAUUUGAUUUGAGUCCAAGACUUGGUUAUUAAGUGUUUUGAUAUAUUUUUCUUUCAUUUUUUUCCUGUUAACAUCAAUAUCUCUAUAGUUGUUACAGGAAUUUGCAAAACUGAGUGCAUUCAGUUUAUCAAACGGAUCAAUAUCAAUUUUCUUUUCGUUUUAGUUUAAUUUGUGUUUUUGCAUGAUUAAAUUAAUUCUUAGGAGAAUGGUCUCGAGAUUCAUGAGUAGCUAAAUCCUUUAGAAAUGUUAACGAGUGAAUGUGAGAGUAAUUAAUGGAAGAACGAGGGUUCCCUAUAGAAUUAGUUGGUUUAAAUUAUGUAUGCUUAAACUUUAGGAUUGACGACCCUAGGAAGUCAUCUAGGUAAAAUGAGGUUGAGAGAUAAGUUUACCGAGUAAAUCGUAAUUUAUCCUAGUUUAGAAAGUAAGGUUGAGAGCCAAUUGAGUAUUAAUGAAUUAAUUAAUCAGUUAGAGGCCAAGAGGUAUUAACUGGUUAGUUAUUAGCUAGUUCACUAAAACCCGACUUCUGAAGUUAUUUACAACCAUUGAAGUAAGUUAAUCUUAAACUUGUUAAUUGAGAUUUCUUUGUUGAUUAAUUUCGUUCUAGUAAUUUUAUUUUAUUUCAUAAUAUUAAUUUCUUUAUUAUUAUAACACCCCAACCUGACUUAGGAGUUUUGGCUAAGCCAAGGGCGCUACAUUGAUCACCGAAGUGAUCCAGUAAAGUCAUUCACUUGUUUGAGUUAAUUUGUAUGAAAAUCACUAUUUAGUUUUUAAGAACAAAACAUUCAUUAAUCAAAAUGACUUUACUUAGUAAUCCAAUUACAAUAUUAUUAAUGUGAAUUGUUGAAAAAUGGUUCAAGUUUAAAAAGACCUAUCAAAACUUUAAGUAUUUUGCAAAGCAGUGGAAAAUAUUAUUAAGAAUAAUGGUUUUCUAAGCCAAACAACAUGCAAUUUAUCAGAGCGUUAACUAUAUGUCAUGCUUUAAAGGUAUUAAGCUAAACAAUCCCAAACCACAAUUAUAAAAGCAAGAAAUAAUUAAUAAUUACAAUAUGGUAAAUGACUUAAUAAAACAACUAAGGAAAUUUUUAAUGGAAACUUUUAAAAUAAUAAUGAAAGAAAAUGGGUUGCUAGUUCGAGGUUCUUUCGAUGCCAUUUCGAGUAUUAGUUUUUUGCGUUACAUGAAAGGUAAGGAAAAUAGGGGAUGAGCUUAGGACAGAUCAAUGUGAGUCUAAAUUAUAAACCAUUAUAUGUAAUUGAUCAAACAGUAAAGCAUUCAAUUUAUAGCCUAAUAGAAAAUUAAGCAUAAUGUAAGGGACAUUUAGAAAAUCAAAGCAUGUACUGAUUAUUUUCAUGAUGCAAUGCAAAUGCAAAUUUUAAUUUUAAGUUCUCA